CACGAGGAGUCUGCCAAAGAGACGCCAGGUGAAACUGAUUAAAAAAUCGUCACUGUAUUGCCUUUGCGAAACGGAAUGGACGGGACUCUGGGAAGAAAUUGUGUAUCGAAAUGUAAAGAAAGUUAGUUCUACUCACGCCUCACACAACAAACAAUAGAAAGUUAACAGCACAUUUUAAAUUAAACAAUCUGGAAAGCAAAAGCAGCGGGACAUUAUACCGAUAUGGACACUUCACCUCCACGAAAGGAAGGAGAAUGGACGUAAAAUAAGCAGCUGGAUUCGAUACAGGGAUUACCCCCCCUCCUCGACCUACCCUCUCCUUCCCCUCCAUCUCUAUCUCACUCUUCACUUGGACCGUGACAGAGACUGUCACCUCGGACAGCUGCAGGGAGCCGAUUGCUCCGUCGCAGAACAAACAUCGCUCAUUCGCCAGAACACAGAUGUUCCCUUCUGACAGUUGAAGAGGAAAGCUUUCUCAACCCUGUCACGCCAAACAAGGGGAGUUUGCCCACUCUUUGUCACACGCUCUGUGAAGCAUCCGCCACAAAUCCUGCUCAGUUCACUUCAUAAACAAGACAAGACAGCUGUCAGGGCCGUGUUGAUGCAUGAACUUAGGACUAUAAAAGGAGCCCCGCUUUAGCACAUUGUCCUGACGACUUGCUAAUCAAAUCAUUAUACACCAGCCUGCAGCGAGACCGAGCCACUCCGCCGUGCGAUACACAAUCCAAAUUCUGUCAUAAGAGACUGUGAGUGGCUGGGCUCACUCCUCAGGCCUUCAUGGCUCACUUCUGAUUUGCUGCUCAUAUCUGAUUAUUUUUUGGAUGACUGUUCGUUUCAAUUCAAGGAUGUAAUCCAUAUCCCAAACAAGGGUCUGACAGCUCUGUGAAAUAUACACAUGCUAUAAAUGAGUCUUUGUGUCUUUGCUUCACCCACUGGUUUCUAACCCAUUUCAUUUGAGUCUUUUUUUUCAAGUUUUUUUUUUUCUGAAUCUCCUCCAAUCACCAAUCAAAGCUUUCCCGUUGCUUCUAAUUGCAGUGUCUAGUUGGCCUCUAUGCUAAUGUUUCUCAUAAAUGAUGACUCUGUGAGAUCUUCUUUGGA